rnacentral:rRNA from 1 species
ACUGUUAGUUAAGGUCUUUAAACCCAAAGAAUUUGGCGGUAUCUCAUUCCAUUCAGAGGAACCUACCCCGUGAUUGAUAAUACACGAUUGACUUUACUUAAUUUAUUUGUUUGUAUAUCUCCGUUAUCAGAAUAUCUUUUUAGAGUUAUAAUUUUCUUGAUUUUUAAUUGAAAAGUAUUUCAGGUCAAGGUGCAGCUUAUGGUUAAGAGGAGGUGGGUUACAAUAAAUUUAUAUUUAUUACGGAUUUGAUGGUGAAAUACUAUUAAUGAAGGUGGAUUUGAUAGUAAUUUAAUUUAUUUAAUUUAAAUGAUAUUGGCUCUGAGGUGUGUACACAUCG